rnacentral:rRNA from 1 species
UACGUAGGGUGCAAGCGUUGUCCGGAAUUAUUGGGCGUAAAGAGCUCGUAGGCGGUCUGUCGCGUCGGCUGUGAAAACCCGGAGCUCAACUCCGGGCCUGCAGUCGAUACGGGCAGACUGGAGUUCGGCAGGGGAGACUGGAAUUCCUGGUGUAGCGGUGAAAUGCGCAGAUAUCAGGAGGAACACCGGUGGCGAAGGCGGGUCUCUGGGCCAAUACUGACGCUGAGGAGCGAAAGCGUGGGGAGCGAACAGG